CCCCUCCCAGGAUCGCACCUGGAGAGUUUCCAGUACUCUAUGAGUUUCGACUAUGGGAGGGAGAGUCAGGCAGAAGCAUAUCCAUUCCAUUCCUAGCUUGGGCAGUGGUUAGUGAGUGGAACGCAAUCUGCUACAAGU